rnacentral:pre_miRNA from 1 species
CUGUGGGCAUCUUACCGGACAGUGCUGGAUUUCUCGGCUCGACUCUAACACUGUCUGGUAACGAUGUUCAAAGGUGACCCAC